rnacentral:tRNA from 1 species
UCCCUGGUGGCUCAGAUGGUAAAGCGUCUGCCUACAGUGCGGGAGACCUGGGUUCGAUCCCUGGGUUGGGAA